AUUGAACGCUGGCGGCAGGCCUAACACAUGCAAGUCGAGCGGAUGAAGGGAGCUUGCUCCUGGAUUCAGCGGCGGACGGGUGAGUAAUGCCUAGGAAUCUGCCUGGUAGUGGGGGAUAACGUCCGGAAACGGGCGCUAAUACCGCAUACGUCCUGAGGGAGAAAGUGGGGGAUCUUCGGACCUCACGCUAUCAGAUGAGCCUAGGUCGGAUUAGCUAGUUGGUGGGGUAAAGGCCUACCAAGGCGACGAUCCGUAACUGGUCUGAGAGGAUGAUCAGUCACACUGGAACUGAGACACGGUCCAGACUCCUACGGGAGGCAGCAGUGGGGAAUAUUGGACAGUGGGCGAAAGCCUGAUCCAGCCAUGCCGAGUGUGUGAAGAAGGUCUUCGGAUUGUAAAGCACUUUAAGUUGGGAGGAAGGGCAGUAAGUUAAUACCUUGCUGUUUUGACGUUACCAACAGAAUAAGCACCGGCUAACUUCGUG
rnacentral:rRNA from 1 species